rnacentral:RNase_P_RNA from 1 species
AGAGUCGGUCAGGCAAUCGCUCCUUGUCUAAAGGCAAGGGGAGGAAAGUCCGGGCUCCAUAGGGCAGAGUGCCAGGUAACUCCUGGGAGGUGUGAGCCUACGGAAAGUGCCACAGAAAAUAUACCGCCUGCUAUUGUAGGUAAGGGUGAAAUGGUGUGGUAAGAGCGCACCGCGCGGUUGGUAACAAUCGUGGCAGGGAAAACCCCACUCGGAGCAAGACCAAAUAGGAAUCCAUUUGACUGCAGAGUCAUGACGUAUGGCCCAUACGGGAUUCGGGUAGGUCGCUUGAGGCAUGCGGUGACGCAUGCCCCAGAUGAAUGGUUGCCCACGACAGAACCCGGCUUAUCGACCGACUCUUUUU